GAGUUUUGAUCGUGGCUCAGAUUGAACGCUGGCGGCAUGCCUAACACAUGCAAGUCGAGCGGGGUGUAGCAAUACAUCCAGCGGCGGACGGGUGAGGGAUACGUAGGAAUUUGCCUUAGAGCGGGGGAUAGCCCAGGGAAACUUGGAGUAAUACCGCAUGAUGUCGAAAGACCAAAGCAGGGGACCGCAAGGCCUUGCACUCUAAGAGAAGCCUACGUCUGAUUAGCUAGUUGGUGAGGUAAUGGCUCACCAAGGCGACGAUCAGUAACUGGUCUGAGAGGACGAUCAGUCACACUGGAACUGAGACACGGUCCAGACUCCUACGGGAGGCAGCAGUGGGGAAUAUUGGACAAUGGGCGAAAGCCUGAUCCAGCAAUGCCGCGUGUGUGAAGAAGGCCUUC
rnacentral:rRNA from 1 species